rnacentral:lncRNA from 1 species
UUAGCGCAUGCGGAUGCCCAUAUACAUUGACAUGAUUCAGCAAACAGUAUGCUAAUUUUAUACUAAAUAUAUUUUUAUAUCGAACGUGUAUCUUUCACACAAUGCAUCUAAUACUAAUAACCAAAUAAAUGAUAUAAUAAAGGGAGUUUUAACGAAAAUCUCACGAUACUGUUCACUUUAAUGAAAAACCAUAUUUUUACACUAAAAAGUCAAACCUGAUACUAUUCACUUUACCCUUUAUUUUGUCCUUAUCAUUAAAAUUCAAAGUUUUCAAACUCUUUUCAUUAGUUUUCCUUAUAAUUAAUCCUGAAAUCUUAUUGACAUGUGGACAGUGGGCAUUGGGACGACGCCUGUCCUUUACAUGUACCGGCAAAGCCAUAUGUGGGCAUUGGGACGACACCUGUCCUUUACAUGUACCGGCAAAGCCAUACUCUGAAAAGAUUCCAUUUCUUCUAAUCCAUCAAGUUUGGAGAUAUGAAUUAUUGAAAUUUAAUCAAACAGCUACAAACAUGGGUACAUUUUAAAAGUUAUAAUAACUUUAGCCGUUGAAUCAAAUUUUAGUGAUCUGGAUCCCUGAACUUGGUGGAUUAAGAGGAAGGGAUCCAGAGAGGAUCCUUUUCCCAUACCAUAACACAUAAUAUGAAUAAUAUUUGAGUAUUCAAAGAAUAAAUAAAAUUUUACACUCAAAACGAUUCGUUGUCAAUUUAUAGAACUCUUUUAUGAUUAGAACCGUUCACUUAUGUAAAAAAAUUAAUUAAAAAUAAGGUUUUUUUAUUCAUUGUUCCUAAUGAAAACAGAUGAACAAAAUUGAUAUAAGCAUUACAAAGAGUUUAUGUAUUUGUUAAAAUAGAUUGACUAAACGAUCAUAAUUUUUAAUUUAUUUUUUGGAUAGAUGAUCUUACAAAGUAAUACAUUAUAUGAAUGGUUCUAAUCAUAUAUACAAAACUUUAUAAUUCAAACCCCAAGAAUUUUGAAUAGAAAUUCUUACACUUUUUUAAAUAGCAAUAUCUCCCCCAUACAUAUACAGCAUGGAUGUUUUUUGGAUGCAGAUUCUCUGCCCUCUCACUUCCCGUGCCCUCCUGUUUGUGU